GGGCGUGGCGGAACUGGCAGACGCGCUAGCCUUAGGAGCUAGUGGAGUAAUCCGUGGAGGUUCAACUCCUCUUCCGCCCACCA
rnacentral:tRNA from 1 species